UACGAAGGGGGGCUAGCGUUGUUCGGAAUUACUGGGCGUAAAGCGCACGUAGGCGGAUAUUUAAGUCAGGGGUGAAAUCCCGGGGCUCAACCCCGGAACUGCCUUUGAUACUGGGUAUCUCGAGUCCGAGAGAGGUGAGUGGAAUUCCGAGUGUAGAGGUGAAAUUCGUAGAUAUUCGGAGGAACACCAGUGGCGAAGGCGGCUCACUGGCUCGGUACUGACGCUGAGGUGCGAAAGCGUGGGGAGCGAACAGG
rnacentral:rRNA from 1 species